AUCGAUGUAGAUGAAGGAAAUAAUUUUUAUGUGGCUCUCUACAUCACCCAGACUCAUGAUGGAGGCCUAACGUUGUGUGUUCAAGCCUAUCGCGACGUUUCGGACUCUGUGAUCCUUCCUCAGGCGAGCUCUGAACACUAAAUGGCUGGAAUUCUCUACAGCAGCCAUGACUCCAGUCACCACAGAGAGGCCCAGAGAGCAGGCACUGGCUUGGUUAGGGAUUACAGAUCCAAUAAUCAGAACAAAGUCCAAUUACGGUUUAUGCACGGUCCUUGGACCCAACUGGCCACCAAUCUGCAGCUUCCAGAGACCCAGAAAUAUUUUUUUGCUGAUGCAAAAAAUUCCCAAAGGGCCCAGAAGACUAGUGGCUAUCUCUCUUAGGUUUCCACGACCCAAGUGGUUGGUAAGUUUAGACUCAUGAUGGAGGCCUUACGUUGUGUGUUCAAGCCUAUCGCGACGUUUCGGACUCUGUGAUCCUUCCUCAGGCGAGCUCUGAACACUAAAUGGCUGGAAUUCUCUACAGCAGCCAUGACUCCAGUCACCACAGAGAGGCCCAGAGAGCAGGCACUGGCUUGGUUAGGGAUUACAGAUCCAAUAAUCAGAACAAAGUCCAAUUACGGUUUAUGCACGGUCCUUGGACCCAACUGGCCACCAAUCUGCAGCUUCCAGAGACCCAGAAAUAUUUUUUUGCUGAUGCAAAAAAUUCCCAAAGGGCCCAGAAGACUAGUGGCUAUCU